ensembl:lncRNA
GACAAAUACAGACCAGUCUAUGCAAUAAAAUCCUCAUUUAUUUGUCUUGUUUACCCACAAUGCACCGGUUUAUUUAUUACUCAUUUUAUUUAUGACUAAACUUGACCAUUUUAAUUAGUGAAGGUUUUGUUAUUGUUUAAUAUAUUUUUAUCGUCAAUUUAUUUAAUUUUUUUAUUAUAUUUAUACAGCUUCUGUUUAAUAUCAGAGUUCUGUUGAUGAGGUGGAAUUUUCCCUUCAGCACUGAACACAUUCAGGCCCGUGUGUGUGUGUGCGCGCGCGUGUGUGUGUGUGUGUGCGCGCGUGUGUGUGUGCGCGCGCAUGUCUUGAUUUCUUCUUUUUCUUCCUGUCCCGUAUCUACACCACCUUUCCCUGGAACUCCCCUGGAGGCAGGAGCGGCACGGCCCGGCGGUGUGUUGGGUAAAUACCCCACUGGGCGUGGCGUUCAGUAGACGCUCCUGUAGAACUCGUUCAGUCUUGCUGAGUCACACUGAACCCCGCCCCCUCCAGCAGCACGUUAGCUUAGCAACACGCUCCACCUUCCUUGCUAGAAUAGAAAGUGUAAUCAAUGUGUGCAACUACAAAGUGUACUAAUGUCUGGAUAUGUUAAUAAUGUAUAAUCACGUGUGUAUAACCAACCGUGAUUAGCAUUAGCAGUGAGGAUUAGCAUUAUCUAAAUCCACACUACACUUGUUGAUCAAGUUAUAUUCCAAGUGUGUACCGAGGUAGAUCAAUUCUGUGUCUUACUGUACAGUAGGCCGAACAGUUUCCUGUGCCAGUCCGUACCUCUGCCCAGCACGAAUAGUCUCAAUCUACACAACACUAACAGGAGGUAUUCGAAGUGUGUACUUUAAGAGCUUUGUGUUUGUCUAAAGCAGCUUGACUCUAUGGCAGUAACAGCUCUUAGACACCUACCAGAACCGAGUUUCCAACCCGUCCUCCAAGCCUUCUCCCGGUUUAAAAGGCUGUGCUCGACUGGAGAAGAUCUAACCGGAGCGACGUCAUUUUAAAAUGAUCGUCACCGUAACGACCGGUUAAAUAGUUGAACAGAAUUCUGAUCGUACCUCCUGCACUUCUCACUGUACGGGUUUCAGAG